UACGUAGGGAGCAAGCGUUGUCCGGAAUCAUUGGGCGUAAAGCGCGCGUAGGUGGCUUCGUAAGUCCGUUGUGAAAGUCAAAGGCUCAACCUUUGAAAGCCGAUGGAUACUGCGGAGCUAGAGUACGGAAGAGGCGAGUGGAAUUCCUGGUGUAGCGGUGGAAUGUGCAGAUAUCAGGAGGAACACCAAUAGCGAAGGCAGCUCGCUGGGACGUUACUGACACUGAGGCGCGAAAGCGUGGGGAGCGAACAGG
rnacentral:rRNA from 1 species